rnacentral:misc_RNA from 1 species
ACCUUGUUGCUUCGGCGGGCCCGCCAGCGUUGCUGGCCGCCGGGGGGCGACUCGCCCCCGGGCCCGUGCCCGCCGGAGACCCCAACAUGAACCCUGUUCUGAAAGCUUGCAGUCUGAGUGUGAUUCUUUGCAAUCAGUUAAAACUUUCAACAAUGGAUCUCUUGGUUCCGGCAUCGAUGAAGAACGCAGCGAAAUGCGAUAACUAAUGUGAAUUGCAGAAUUCAGUGAAUCAUCGAGUCUUUGAACGCACAUUGCGCCCCCUGGUAUUCCGGGGGGCAUGCCUGUCCGAGCGUCAUUGCUGCCCUCAAGCCCGGCUUGUGUGUUGGGCCCUCGUCCCCCGGCUCCCGGGGGACGGGCCCGAAAGGCAGCGGCGGCACCGCGUCCGGUCCUCGAGCGUAUGGGGCUUCGUCUUCCGCUCCGUAGGCCCGGCCGGCGCCCGCCGACGCAUUUGUUUGCAACUUGUUUUUUUCCAGGUUGACCUCGGAUCAGGUAGGGAUA